GAGUGAGUUUGUGCGUGGGCCCUUUAAGACGCGGAUCUUUUUGGCUUUGGCUGAUAGCUUUUCUGGGGGUGUCCUCACUGCAGUUAAUAGCCAGCAAAGCCAGACAGUAAGACCCUCCUCUCAGUUGGGCUGAGUCUGAAGGAUGCUUAUAGCAGUAUCACCCCCGCUCUGAACCUCACUCCUCUAGGGAGGGCUCCUACCUUAGGGUGUCUCCCACCUGGCCAGCUGAAAAGCUCCACUGCUCCCAAAGGUGGCUUUUUUCCUCUCCUGCCGGAGUUACUGACUCUUCUGCUUUUGUCAGGACUGUCCCUUGUCGUGGGGGUUCUUUUUACCCAGUUUUCAGUUUUCAAUCCAGGGUGAUUCUUCCCGAAAUUGUUGUAACCUUGUUGUGUUCGUGGGAGGAGGCGAGUUCAACGUCUGCUCACAGUGCCAUCUUGACAAGAUCCUGCUUAGUAGUUGAUCCUAACUGCAGAGUAGAUUGAAGUUGAAGGAGGUUCUAAGUUCUCCAAAGUGUCCACUGGGACCCCCAUUGUCAUCCUGGGACCUGAGAUUUAUACCUUUGUGGAAGAUACAUGAGGACAAAUGCAAUAGCACGGGUGAUGUCAGCAACAGUUGGAAGUUGUGAAGCCAUUCGAAUAGUAGUGACCUGCUUAGCCUAUCAGAGAAUGGUAAAUGCCGUCAGUCAGGAAAGUCUAGAAGCAGACCAAUGGUGUCAUCAAAACUCUGAAAGACUUUGGAAAUGAAAGCACAGAUUUGGACUUUUCAACAAGAAUAUUAAGAUCUAGAAGACAAUGGAUUAAUAUUUUAACUACUAACAGUUCAAUGUCUUUCAACCUAAAAAGGUAUACGCUGUCAAACCAUCCAUCAAUUGCAAGGAAAAAGUAGUGACAUUUUUGGGCAUGCAUAUGCUUAAAAUAUUUUCCUUCCAUGUAUCCUUUAUCAGGAAGUUAUUAGAUAAUAUGUCAUAUCAUACAAAAAAAUUACCAAGGAAAAGGAAGACAUGAAAUCAGGGGAUAGCAAGAA
rnacentral:lncRNA from 1 species